UCGUCCGUGACCCUGACGUGGCUUACGCCUCAGUCCAGUUCAAACAGAAGGACUCGAACCCUCGCUUCAGGGUCGAGGACGAGGACGUGACCUACAGCGCCGUGAGGAACCCAGAGACCUGCAGCUCGCAAAAACCUGAAGACGCCGUCACUUAUGUCACCGCUGAUUUCAAUAACGUCAAGAAAAAGAAGAGACGUGAGAGUCGCGAGAGCAGAAACGACGACGUGACCUACAGCUCCGUGAGGGCCUUUUCUCCAGAGUGUGACCCAAACGUCCUGUACGCCUCCGUCAAACAAAACAAACCUCGUGCAAAAUGACACUGAGCGAGUUUAAAGAACCCGGAGGACAUCAACAUCAUCAACAUCAUCAACAUCAUCAACAUCAACAUCAACAUCAUCAACAUCAUCAACAUCAACAUCAUCAUCAUCAACAUCAUCAACA